rnacentral:rRNA from 1 species
GUCACUCUGCUCAAUGAAUAAAUAUUUAAAUAGCUGCAGUAUACCUGACUGUACAAAGGUAGCAUAAUCAAUUGUCUUUUAAUUGAAGAAUGGAAUGAAAGAAUUAAUGAAAUAUAUACUGUCUCUAAUAUAAAAAAUGAAUUUAAAUUUUUAGUUAAAAUGCUAAAAUUAAAUUAUGGGACGAUAAGACCCUCUAGAAUUUUAUAUUAAUAAUAUUUAAAUAUUAUUUUUUAAUUUUUAAAAUAAUAUUAAUAUUUAAUUGGGAGGAUUAAUAAAUUUAAUAAACUUUAUUAAAUUAUUUAAACUUUAAUUUAAGAAAUUUAAUUUGAUAUAAUAUUAUUAAAAUUAGAAUAAAUUACCUUAGGGAUAACAGCGUAAUAUCUUUUUAGAGUUCUUAUUAAUAAAGAUGUUUGCGACCUCGAUGUUGAAUUAAGAUAAAUUUUAAAUGAAGAAAUUUAAGUAUUAAGUCUGUUCGACUUUUAAAAUCUUACAUGAUUUGAGUUC